rnacentral:rRNA from 1 species
UGGGGAAUAUUGGACAAUGGGCGGAAGCCUGAUCCAGCAACGCCGCGUGAGGGAUGACGGCCUUCGGGUUGUAAACCUCUUUCAGUACCGACGAAGCGAAAGUGACGGUAGGUACAGAAGAAGGACCGGCCAACUACGUGCCAGCAGCCGCGGUAAUACGUAGGGUCCGAGCGUUGUCCGGAAUUAUUGGGCGUAAAGGGCUCGUAGGCGGUUUGUCGCGUCGGGAGUGAAAAACAGCGGGCUUAACUCGUUGCUUGCUUUCGAUACGGGCAGACUAGAGGUAUGCAGGGGAGAAUGGAAUUCCUGGUGUAGCGGUGAAAUGCGCAGAUAUCAGGAGGAACACCGGUGGCGAAGGCGGUUCUCUGGGCAUUACCUGACGCUGAGGAGCGAAAAGUGUGGGGAGCGAACAGGAUUAGAUACCCUGGUAGUCCACACCGUAAACGUUGGCGCUAGGUGUGGGGUCCUUUCCACGGAUUCCGUGCCGUAGCUAACGCAUUAAGCGCCCCGCCUGGGGAGUACGGCCGCAAGGCUAAAAACUCAAAGGAAUUGACGGGGUCAUAGCUG